AAAAUGGACAUAAGUUAAAGACUCGUCAUUUCUUCGUGCCAUGUUGACAUAAACAGAUGAAAAGAUGACAACAGAUAUGCUGUUAAAUCAAAUCUUCGCCAGUCAUAUAGAAGUUGGAAGACCAUAAAGCAAUGGAAAGUUUCAUGGAUAACAAAUUUGUUAACUUUCAUGACAAAAAGAAAGAAGCUGUUAUCCAUAAAUAUUUUGACUUCAAAUAUUAUGCUCUCAGUUUAGGACAAAUAGUGUCAGUGUUCCUUUCAUUUUUGGAUAAUUGGGGUUACCAUUUGUGAACUGUGAAGUGAGGAGGAACAUAUGAUAGAUUAUUUGAUAGUUUCUUUGAGACUGUUAUCAUCAACCAGUCUGUCGAUAUUAGCAUUCGCUAGGCCCUCUGAGGGUUUUUUCUAAAGAAAUCAGUCAUAGUGUAAGGAAACGAGAUAACGAGAUGUUGGUAUUUUGACAGAAUAUGGUGCUGUGUGAAUGUGUGUGAAUCAGUUGUGGAUUGUAAAUAUGUUGACUGAAAAAUCUUUAAAAUAAAUAAAAAUAUGAUUAUUUGG